UCAGGACACUGGGUCCCCUUGGAGCCUCCCCAGGCUUAAUGAUUGUCCAGAAGGCGGCUAUAAAGGGAGCCUGGGAGGCUGGGUGGAGGAGGGAGCAGAAAAAACCCAACUCAGCAGAUCUGGGAACUGUGAGAGCGGCAAGCAGGAACUGUGGUCAGAGGCUGUGCGUCUUGGCUGGUAGGGCCUGCUCUUUUCUACCAUGGCAGCCCAGGGCUAUGGCUAUUAUCGCACUGUGAUCUUCUCAGCCAUGUUUGGGGGCUACAGCCUGUAUUACUUCAAUCGCAAGACCUUCUCCUUUGUCAUGCCAUCAUUGGUGGAAGAGAUCCCUUUGGACAAGGAUGAUUUGGUGGUUUGAGCCAUCUCAGUUUGGCACUUGGUGGGCCAUCCUGUCAACCAGCAUGAACCUGGCUGGAGGGCUGGGCCCUAUCCUGGCAACCAUCCUUGCCCAGAGCUACAGCUGGCGCAGCACGCUGGCCCUAUCUGGGGCACUGUGGUGUGGUUGUCUCCUUCCUCUGUCUCCUGCUCAUCCACAAUGAACCUGCUGAUGUUGGACUCCGCAACCUGGACCCCAUGCCCUCUGAGGGCAAGAAGGGCUCCUUGAAGGAGGAGAGCACCCUGCAGGAGCUGCUGCUGUCCCCUUACCUGUGGGUGCUCUCCACUGGUUACCUUGUGGUGUUUGGAGUAAAGACCUGCUGUACUGACUGGGGCCAGUUCUUCCUUAUCCAGGAGAAAGG
rnacentral:lncRNA from 1 species